GGGCCCGUGGUGUAGCCUGGUUUAACACGCCUGCCUGUCACGCAGGAGACCGAGGGUUCAAAUCCCUUCGGGCCCG
rnacentral:tRNA from 1 species